rnacentral:lncRNA from 1 species
UGGUGGAGAUGGGGAAACGAGAACCUAUGUGCAUCGUUGGUGAUAAAUAAAUAAAUAAAUAAAUAAAUAAAUAAGUAUGUCAUGAUCUUAAAAGUUUGUGAACAAACUGUAUUUCUGUUUUGAAACCACACAGCGCCCCGCUCCCUCAUCUGCUUGGAGCUACAAGGAUCUCUGAGAUACCUGCUGGCAUUAGCCUGUAUUCCAGGACUGGACGUCAGGGCAUCCUUUAGCCCUUAAAGCUGUAUGCCCUUUCUCACAUCCGCAAAGGGGACUGUGAGCUGUAAAAAG